AAGAACCGUCGAACUUCGCCGGGUCUCGUGCUCGAGCCUCAGCCCCCACCCCCGACGAGAUCUCGUGCUCGAGCCGUCGAACUUCGCCGGGUCUCUCUGCAGGAUCUCUAGUUCGCUCUCUCUCCCAGAUCUCGUGCUCUCGCCGUGCCGUCGAACUUCCUCGAGCCACCGACCCGACGAGAUCUCGUGCCCAACUCCCCCAGAUCUCGUUCGUGCCCAAAAAUAGGGAUUCGACGCUGUAGAUUGAAAUGGCUUCAUCAUCAACUGUGGAAGGUAACUCAUGUGUUGAAGUGGAUAUUAGAUUCAUAUUGAAACAAUGCGAUUGUGGAGAAUUAGCAGAUAUGAAGAUAACGAAGUCGAACAAGAACAAUAACCGUGGUAGAAUUUACUACUCGUGUAAAAGGCAAAAGUGCGGUUCAUUUUUGGGCUGGUGCAAGAUUUCAUCAAUUGAACAAAUACCAUUCGUCAUUGCCCCACCAGAGGCUCGUGAGUUGGUUGUUGUACGUGAAAAAGUGUUGUGGAAAUGGCUAACUAUUAUAGCUUUUUUGUUGUCUUUUUGUUUGGCCAUGAAAGAAAUUAUGUGAUGUAAACGAUUUGUGGGAAUGAAACAAGACUUUGUAACUGCUGUUGUUUUAACAAUUGUCAUCGGCUAAUGCAAUGAAAAGUUAAAUGUUUAACU